AGGGUUCGAUUCUGGCUCAGAACGAACGCUGGCGGCAUGGAUUAGGCAUGCAAGUCGAACGAAGCAGCAAUGCUUAGUGGCGCAAGGGUGAGGAGCACGUGAGUGACUUACCCGCAAGUUUGGAACAGCUCCUGGAAACGGGAAUUAAUACCGGAUGUGAUCAUAGGUCUGCAUGGAUUUAUGAUUAAAGCAGCAAUGCGCUUGCGGAUGGGCUCGCGUCCCAUUAGCUAGUUGGUGAGGUAACGGCCCACCAAGGCGAUGAUGGGUAGCUGGUCUGAGAGGACGACCAGCCACACUGGGACUGAGAACUGCCCAGACUCCUACGGGAGGCUGCAGUCGAGAAUUUUGGGCAAUGGACGAAAGUCUGAACCCCCAGCAAUGCCGCGUGCGGGAUGAAGGUCUUCGGAUUGUAAACCGCUGUUUGGAGGGACGAAACAUGACGGUACCUCCAGAGAAAGCCACGGCUAACUACGUGCCAGCCGCCGC
rnacentral:rRNA from 1 species